UACACUCCUGCGGGAGGCAGCAGUGGGGAAUUUUGGACAAUGGGCGAAAGCCUGAUCCAGCCAUGCCGCGUGCAGGAUGAAGGCCUUCGGGUUGUAAACUGCUUUUGUACGGAACGAAACGGCCUUUUCUAAUAAAGAGGGCUAAUGACGGUACCGUAAGAAUAAGCACCGGCUAACUACGUGCCAGCAGCCGCGGUAAUACGUAGGGUGCAAGCGUUAAUCGGAAUUACUGGGCGUAAAGCGUGCGCAGGCGGUUAUGUAAGACAGUUGUGAAAUCCCCGGGCUCAACCUGGGAACUGCAUCUGUGACUGCAUAGCUAGAGUACGGUAGAGGGGGUUGGAAUUCCGCGUGUAGCAGUGAAAUGCGUAGAUAUGCGGAGGAACACCGAUGGCGAAGGCAAUCCCCUGGACCUGUACUGACGCUCAUGCACGAAAGCGUGGGGAGCAAACAGGAUUAGAAACCCCAGUAGUCCCAUGAU
rnacentral:rRNA from 1 species